AGCCACGCCGUGAGCACAAAGCGAACUAUUCUUUCGCCUUUUACUAAAGAAUACCGUGUGCUCACUGCAUUAAGUGGCAUACGUUUAUUUUUGAAGGAAGCCAUUAAGGUUAAAUGGGU